UCUGAGCGGUUCAAUCGUCUGUCAUAGGGAAAGAGUAGUUCUGCCUCUGAAGGUUUCUCCCUUGGGCUCGUUGCUGGUGGCCUGGUCGAUGGCAAUAUUGGCCUCUGGAAUCCUCUCACUCUGAUCCGCCUGCAAGAAACAAAUAGUUAAGCAGCUUUGUACGUUGCAAAAAACUGUUUUGGAGGGGGAUAUUACAACAGAAGAUGAUAAGACUUAGCUUGUACGUGUGAUUAUUACGAGAUCUCUUAAUAGUGCAAGCAAAAAGGAUCACUAGCUAGGGCGAGUAGUAAAGCUCUUGUCACUUAACGUGCAGCAGAGCGAGAAAAGAUGGAAGCAGAACGUGCUGCAGAGCGAGCAAAGAUGGAAGCAGAGCGUACGCAACUUGAACAAAGGAUGGAGCAAUUGAUGGAACAGAGAAUACAAGCUCAGUUCACUGCUUUCAUGCAAAAGAUGCAGUUAAAUGCUCCUGCAGAUACCCCUACUUCUAGCGUCCCUAGUAUUGAUCCCUUUACGUAAUUUUUCUUUU